GUGGACGAGCCGAACGGUUGGGCGACCGGCCUCCAAAGCCGGUGAGAAGCAGGUUCGAUUCCUGCCGUCCAUGC
rnacentral:tRNA from 1 species